UACGGGGGGGGCAAGCGUUGUCCGGAAUCAUUGGGCGUAAAGCGCGUGUAGGCGGUUCAGUAAGUCUGCUGUGAAAGUCCAGGGCUCAACCCUGGGAUGCCGGUGGAUACUGCUGAACUAGAGUGCGGAAGAGGCGAGUGGAAUUCCUGGUGUAGCGGUGAAAUGCGCAGAUAUCAGGAGGAACACCGGUGGCGAAGUCGGGUCUCUGGGCCGAUACUGACGCUGAGGAGCGAAAGCGUGGGGAGCGAACAGG
rnacentral:rRNA from 1 species